GGUAGGGCUUGUGUAUGUGUGUGUGCAUUUGAGAAAUUAUGUGUGUGUGCGUCUUUGAGAGAAAGUGUGUGUUUGUGUGUGAGCACAAGUAAGACAGAGUUAUCUGUGGACUGUGUGUGUAGUAGAUAAAGGAAGGUAGGGCGGUGUUAAGUGCAAAGGCGUGGAGAGGCAUCUUACCAGCAACCAGCUGACAAUCUCCCCUCCCCUCCCUCCCACCCUCAUUCAACUCCCCUCCCAACAUCCCUUCCUCUCCCCCUCUCCCCAGCCCUCGCCUCCUCAUCUCCCUCCUUCACUCCCUCCUUCCAAACAGAGAAACAAGAAACAAACAAACAAACACACACACAAACCAAAAAUGCACAUGAAAUCAGAGAAUAAUUCUGCAAUGCUAUUUUUUCACCAGCCCAACUUGGGAAAACAGUCCCAUGGAAUUGGACAUUUUUGUUAUUUUUGUUGUUGUCGCCCUACUUCCCACUGUUUAUUCUUCCCCUCGUCUCUUUCUGCUCUUGUUUCUGUCUCUGUCAAUCCCCCGCCCCCCUCUAAGCCGCUUUGCGGGGAUGCACACAGGAGCCACCUUAUACUGUUUUCCUUUGCAAAUUCUCUUAUAUAUUUUUUUGCCAGAGACAGCACAAUCACACGCACCUCCUCUGCUCACAAAGAGAAUACUCAGCUGGUUCGGAUUCACCCCGGCUUCCUUUUCUCCUGGUGGGAAAUAAAAAAAACACACACACACAGACACAGACACAGACACACACACACACACACACACACACACACACACACACACACAGACACAGACACAGACACACACACACACACACACACACACACACACACACACACACACACACACACACACACACACACACGCACGCCCACCUAGCGAAGGAUAGUCGAUGCCGGGGCCGUCUGAUCGUGUUGGAAGCGGCUUUCCUGCUGAAAGGUUCUACAGAGCCCCCACAAGCACGUACGCACGCACGCACAAACGCACAGACACACACACUCCCCUUUCACAGCAGAGUGCCUUGAACAGUUUCAAAGCUAACUCAAAUUUUAAUGACUUCCUUGGACCAGGAACCACAGUCUGUUCAUUUGUCUUAACCGUAACCCAACGUCAGUCCGCCAUCUUGUUUUAUUAAUGCAGUCUAUAGUGAUGAAUAAAUGGAUACGGCUGUUUGUAGUCCAUAGAAACAACAACCUCCCGUUGUACUUCCAGGUGCUAGCCAUGAUUUUUAUGUUUUUCUUGUUGUUGGUGUUAUUCAAAUCAACCUCAAGAAAAAGAUCAAAUAUGAAACUUGAACAGAUUCUAUAUUCAGAGACUAUAUUGUUGGCAAAUGGUUGACAAUUACUGGAGUGGGAGUGAUCAUAGUGUUUUUUUAGGAAGAGCAGUCAAGCUGUCUAUUGCUGGAGAAUAUCUGCCAACUACUAAAGUCUAACACUCCCACAUUCACCAUCUUUCAUCUCACACACACACACACACACACACACACGCACACACACACACACACACGCACACACGCACACACACAUACACACAAUCCCUUAAGGUGUUUGUGUUUCUGCUGGGUUGUUUUUAGUUAAAGUCCCACCCCAUUGGCUGACGCAGCAUGCAGUGUUUCCCUAUGUGCAUUCAAGUUAUGCAUUUAUUGCCCUUAUUGGGGCACACCUGCCAAUUUACAAGGCCUUUGAUCUCUGAUGAGACUGCAGGUGGGAACCAUUGCCUGGCUUCCUCUCGUUAGGAAACCAGAGGGUAAAUAGCGAUAAAUAGGUUUGUUUGCAAGUGGGCUUGAACAAGCAACACUGUUCUCUUCUGAACUCUUAAACCACUGGCCUCUUCUUCUUUUUUUACUGUGCUUAAGAGGAGUGUGAAGGGUUUUGCAAUAACAAAUCACUGCAGUGCAUUUUCAACCUCCCUCCAAUUGGAAAGGUUGCACUACCAGUUCUGAGUUCUGGGUUUGCCUUGUGUUUGUUUAGCGACGCUGUCUGAGCCAGUCACAGCUGGAUUAGGUUGUCUAGAGCACCCAAUGGUCAAUACACACACACACACGCACGCGUGCGCACAAACACACACAGAGGGCUGAGAUGUUUUAGUCUCUCGAUGGGUGUAGUCUUUUGCCGACAUAACAUUUGAUGCUGCAAUUUACCCUACAUGGUCCGCAACCUUAUUUAACACCAAGGCUGUUCAAUAACGCAAUGAGAGGUUCCUCUGUUGGAGCAACAUGUGAUGAGAAGCGUCAAUUCAUAUGUUGAAACCGUUUGACCGCUUGAUAACAAAGAUAUUUCUGUUACAGAUCGUCUUCUGACUCUGCCUGUAGCAAGAGCUCUUGCAUGCAUUGACCCCAUGGACAGACCAUCUAUAAACCAACAUCGGAAGAACAUCUUUGUGUUUGUACUUUGGCUGUGUGUGUGUGUGUGUGUGUGUGUGUGUGUGUGUGUGUGUGUGUGUGUGAGCAUGUGUGUGAGCAUGUGUGUGUGUGUCUGUUUUCUGAAAGGCUUCCCCACAAUGAAUUGACCUCUCUAUCUUUAGCCCCGCAGAAGGUUGGUUAAUGGCCCUUGCUCUUACCACAUCCAUUAACCUGUUACGCAACACAGGGGCCAUGAUGGAAAGUCCUAUCUUCUGACCCUCUGCAAGACUUUCAGAUUCAACUCACACAUACACACACCCAUGCACACACACACACACACACACACAAACUGACGCAUUCACUAUCUGACUCGAUUCAUUGUUGCUCUGUGUCAGUGAACCAUGUGCUGAAAGUCUUUCAGAAACAAGCCCAGAGCUCGUCAUUACCCUGGAAACAGGUUACCGAGGGCUCAACUCGAUGGUGGAACUGCUCUGCCAGGAUGGGGGUGUGCCCGCGCACGGGGCGUGUCCCCGUGAACUGGAUAAAGGUGGGCCUGGCCUCCGAGAGACGCGGCGGGAGAUUUGAUUUGCGUUUUGCUCUGAUUGUCAAGACCAGUUUUGAUUCAUGCUUUUCACGCAAUUAAAACAAGAAAGGUGGAUUGUG